CACUUGGUGUCUGAUGUCCGAAUUGGAACCCUGAUUAAUUUGGAUUGCAUGUUGCAGGGUCUAUUCUGAUGGUGACACUUCCAACAGAAUUUUUUUCAUACUCAGGACUCAAACUCAAAAACUCUAGUUAAGAGUGACGUAGUCCCACCACUACACACAACUCAUGUGGCUUAUUCUGGGGAUAGCGCUCCCAAGAGAAUUUUCUCCAUACCCAGCGCUCGAACCCGAGAUCUCUGAUUAAGAGUGAAGCAGUCCUACCAUUACACCACAACCCAUGUAUAAGUUACUCAUAUUAAUCAAACUUACCCGGUGUCUGGUGUCCACAUUGAAGCCUCGACUAAUCCGGAUCGAGCGUUGCAGAGCUCAUUUUCUCCAUAUCCAGAGCUCGAACUAGAAAACUCUAGUUAAGGGUGGAGCAGUCUCACCACUACACCACAAACCACGUAUAAGUCACUCAUAUUCUCCAUAUCCAGAGCUCGAACUAGAAAACUCUAGUUAAGGGUAGAGCAGUCUCACCACUACACCACAAACCACGUAUAAGUCACUCAUAUUGAUCCAACUUUACACAUUUGUUGUAUGUGUUAGAGUCAAAGAAAUUUUACAAGUAAUAACAAAAUGUAACAUUUAUUUGAAUUAGCUCAUUGAAAUAAUUUAUAAACAAUAUUGGUUG